rnacentral:lncRNA from 12 species
AACCAGAGAGGGAGACUGAGGCAGUCUCAGGAAAUCAAGGGUCACCAGGAUGACUGACGGUGAGAUGACGACGAUGAUGGUGGUGAUGGUGAUGAUGGCAUGUCCCAGUGAACCACUGGAUUGAAUCAACACACCUCAUCCUCCCAGUCAUAGGCUCUGCUCUGGUCCUGAGAUGGGUAUCUGAUCAAGGAAAGCUGGAAGCGUGCUUUCCAGUAUACUUGAAGAGCCUUCUGUCCUGCUGGGGACACAGACAGGUGACUGCAGGAUUGCACAGUUAGAACAACCCCCAUUGUUCGUCCUGGCUUGGAAGGUGCUCGAAUCAAAGCGCCAAGUUUAUCUGAUGUUCUCUGAAGUGGUUAAUCUACGGAGCAGAGAGCGAGUGAUGAAAAGGUG